AAACACACACACAUCAGUGUGUGCGUGGGGAACGACCAGAGCAGGAAGAAAAAGGGUAAAACCCUAAACUCCACAAAAUCUUCUAAUUGAAGGUGCAAUUGAAGACCAAACUCGGAUUUGAAUACAUAUAAACGAUCACCGAGCUAAGGGGAUCGUAAGUUGACUCUAAACAAGCUAGGUGGGAGCUUGGAAAGGAACGGGUCAAACGGAUCAUGGAUGCGAAGAAUGUUUGCGCGAACGCGAGGUAAGUAAAGCUUACACCCAUUUGUAGUAAACGUAUGUAUUUUAUAGAUGAUAAAUGUGACAACCGAUUACAUUCGAAAUUGAAGUUCCGACACUAAGCAAUAUGAGUCGGAACGAAUAAAAAUGAUCAAAACCAUGGUUAAUGGUAAAAUGGACAAAAGGGUAAUUUAGUCGUGAAUCGACUAAGAAUUUAUAAGAUUUCUUUAAGGUUACCUUAUAGCGAAACUAGUAAUGGGAAAAAGGGUAAAUUAGUCACAUGUUGACUAUAUGUAAGUUGGGAUUAAAAAGGAUACCCAUGGUGUAAGCCAUAACGAGUUAGAUACGUAAGAAGAAUGAUCUUGUAGUUAAAACUUGAAAUGGGUCGGAUGUGUGAAUGGGAUAUUAAAAGCCAUGAUUUGACAUAAGUAUAAAUGUUUGGUCAUAAAUACCAAAUGGGUCAAAUGGUGGUGAUGACACUAUUUGACAAUAUCGACUAAUGUUUGGUUGUUAAGUUAAAUGUUCGCAGGAGUGAACGGGAAGUGGAUUAUUGCGUUGCUAUAAAGUAGCGGCUAAUAAAAGAAAGGUACAAAACGGGUCUAUAUGUUGACUCGAGCCAGGUACGCAUUAAUUAGAUCAUGGCGAUAUGCGUAGUUGAAUUUUAGAAUAUAAGUUACUAUGAAAUAUAGCGAUGAUAUCGCUACAUUGAAUAUUUGGUCAAAAGAUGGUUAGAACUCGUUGGUAGUCGUCAAAAAGGAAGGAAUUCCGUAGACGAGCCAAACGGGUCGAAUAAUCAGGUAAGGCAUGGUUAUUGUUUCGGAUAUUUUGAAUAUUUUAUAACAUAUUAGAAAUAUGAGGUUUUAACGAAUUAGUAUCAUAAAAAAACUGAAAACCGAGAGUUGGGUCUUGGAGUAAUGAUCAAACAAAACAAAACCUGGCAUUCCAGGUACUACCGUAAAUUACGGUAGAACCGUAAAUUACGGUGGUUGUGAUAUGGUUUACGGAGCAGAUCUCCUGGUUUACGGUGACCAGACACUUCCAGGUCUCACCGUAAAUUACGGUGAUACCGUAAUUUACGGUGGAUUCAGAAUCACUUUUUAUAUUUUUGUUAUUUCUAAUGUGGCAUUAAGCCUUGGGAUUAUAUUAUUAUAUAACAACGUCAAAACUAAUGAUUUUAACGGUUUUGAUCAUAGGUGAAUGCCAAGAGUGCCCGGAUGAAGAUCAAGCUCGAUGAGGAACCGAACACAAUAAAAUCUAACACUCGGGAUUAAAGCUUCCGCACGGCGUUACGCCAUAUCUUUUAAACAACGAACUUAUCUAUAUUAUGUUGAAAACUUUUAAGUUGUAAAAGUUUUAGAUUACUUGUAUUUUCUAAGAAUACUUAAUCGAAAUUUCAUGUUUAUUUUCGUUAUUUAUACGAAAACUUUAAAAAUUAUAACAUGGGUGUUACAAGUUGGUAAUCAGAGCUCAUGGUUAAAGAGUGAGGUGUGUUCGGUUCGAGGCUUGAUCGUAAAUCCGGUAAGUACAUGUAUGUUAAUGGUUUAGUGUGCUAAAGUGUUGUAAACAACACAUAGGGUUAUCGUGUGAUACACGUUACCCUAAUUAAAAUGAUUGAUAUAGUUAAUGAAAAUACGCGCGUUGGCGCGUAUAGAAAAAGCCUUGUAUUAUAAUACGGGUGAUUAUUAAAGUUGAUAUAAUUAACUCUUGUAAAUGUUUCAGUUGAAGGACACUCGCAUCUAAAGAUAGCGGAAGUCUAACAAAUUGUUGACUUGACGAAGGGACGGUCCAAAGUACGACAAGUAGAACAUGCUCACCAAGGACCUAAAUCGCGUAACGAUCGCGAACAAGGCUAACGGCAAGAGAAGCCUGACAGGGCAAGCAUUACCAGUUGACUCUAAACAAGCUAGGUGGGAGCUUGGAAAGGAACGGGUCAAACGGAUCAUGGAUGCGAAGAAUGUUUGCGCGAACGCGAGUUAAAUGUUCGCAGGAGUGAACGGGAAGUGGAUUAUUGCGUUGCUAUAAAGUAGCGGCUAAUAAAAGAAAGGUACAAAACGGGUCUAUAUGUUGACUCGAGCCAGGUACGCAUUAAUUAGAUCAUGGCGAUAUGCGUAGUUGAAUUUUAGAAUAUAAGUUACUAUGAAAUAUAGCGAUGAUAUCGCUACAUUGAAUAUUUGGUCAAAAGAUGGUUAGAACUCGUUGGUAGUCGUCAAAAAGGAAGGAAUUCCGUAGACGAGCCAAACGGGUCGAAUAAUCAGGUAAGGCAUGGUUAUUGUUUCGGAUAUUUUGAAUAUUUUAUAACAUAUUAGAAAUAUGAGGUUUUAACGAAUUAGUAUCAUAAAAAAACUGAAAACCGAGAGUUGGGUCUUGGAGUAAUGAUCAAACAAAACAAAACCUGGCAUUCCAGGUACUACCGUAAAUUACGGUAGAACCGUAAAUUACGGUGGUUGUGAUAUGGUUUACGGAGCAGAUCUCCUGGUUUACGGUGACCAGACACUUCCAGGUCUCACCGUAAAUUACGGUGAUACCGUAAUUUACGGUGGAUUCAGAAUCACUUUUUAUAUUUUUGUUAUUUCUAAUGUGGCAUUAAGCCUUGGGAUUAUAUUAUUAUAUAACAACGUCAAAACUAAUGAUUUUAACGGUUUUGAUCAUAGGUGAAUGCCAAGAGUGCCCGGAUGAAGAUCAAGCUCGAUGAGGAACCGAACACAAUAAAAUCUAACACUCGGGAUUAAAGCUUCCGCACGGCGUUACGCCAUAUCUUUUAAACAACGAACUUAUCUAUAUUAUGUUGAAAACUUUUAAGUUGUAAAAGUUUUAGAUUACUUGUAUUUUCUAAGAAUACUUAAUCGAAAUUUCAUGUUUAUUUUCGUUAUUUAUACGAAAACUUUAAAAAUUA